rnacentral:rRNA from 1 species
AAUCAACGCUGGCGGCGUGCCUCAGACAUGCAAGUCGAACGAUUAAAGCUCUCUUCGGAGAGUGCAUAAAGUGGCGCACGGGUGAGUAACACGUAAGUAAUCUACCUUCGAGUGGGGAAGUAACGUCCGGAACGGACGCUAAUACCGCAUAACGCAGCGGCAUCGCAAGAUGACAGUUGUUAAAGAUUUAUUCGCUUGAAGAGGAGCUUGCGGCAGA